UACGAAGGGUGCAAGCGUUACUCGGAAUUACUGGGCGUAAAGCGUGCGUAGGUGGUGAGUUAAGUCUGUCGUGAAAGCCCCGGGCUCAACCUGGGAAUGGCGAUGGAUACUGGCUCGCUAGAGUGCGGUAGAGGAGAGUGGAAUUCCCGGUGUAGCGGUGAAAUGCGUAGAUAUCGGAAGGAACAUCAGUGGCGAAAGCGGCUUCCUGGACCAGUACCGACGUUCAGGCACGAAAGCGUGGGGAGCAAACAGG
rnacentral:rRNA from 1 species